UACCUCAGUUGCUUCGGCGGACCCGCCCCGGCGCCCUCGGGCCCGGACCAGGCGCCCGCCGGAGGACCCCAAACCACUGAAUUACCAUGUGUAUCUUCUGAGAAAAAGGCGAAAGCCGAAAAUGAAUUAAAACUUUCAACAACGGAUCUCUUGGUUCUGGCAUCGAUGAAGAACGCAGCGAAAUGCGAUAAGUAAUGUGAAUUGCAGAGCUCAGUGAACCAUCGAAUUUUUGAACGCACAUUGCGCCCGCCAGCACUCUGGCGGGCAUGCCUGUCCGAGCGUCAUUUCAACCCCUCGGGCCCCCUUCACGGGCGGCCCGGUGUUGGGGAUCGCCCGCCCCUCGCGGCGGGCGUCCCUCAAAUCUAGUGGCGGACCUUCCGCGCCUCCCCUGCGUAGUACUGCACCUCGCACCGGAGCGCGCUGGGGCCCUGCCGUUAAACCCCCCACUUCUCAAGGUUGACCUCGGAUCAGGUAGGAAUACCCGCUGAACUUAA
rnacentral:rRNA from 1 species